AUGAUGGUCCAAUUCCACUGGAUCUACUCAUGCAUCUACAGAGAGAAAUUGCGUACGAAAUUUGGCUUACCAGACAAACCUUGUUGUGAUUGUGGUGUUCAUUUCUUCUGUGACUCAUGCGCCCUUUGCCAAGAGCAUGCCGAGCUCAAAAUUAGAGGCUUGGAUCCAUCCAAAGGUUCUAAAUUUAAUCCGCACAAUUAUGAUAUAUAAUUAUGUGUUUAUUAUUAAUUAUGGUUCUCCUAAUACACAUCUUAUUUUUGUGAAUAUUAUUGUAGGUUGGACUGGACCACCAAAUGCUGCUCCAAAGGCUUUCUCCAUGUUUAGAUAG
rnacentral:lncRNA from 1 species